AGUUGGCACAUUUCUCCACCUCAGUUACCUUUUCUUCUAAAGGGAGGCACAGUAACAGGGGAACGACGAUUAAGGAGUUGGGCAAACCAAAUUAUGAUCUCCCUAGUUGAGUGGUCGGGUGGUCUGUUCAAGGCUUGACGCUUCUGGUGAGGCGCCGGGGCCGGACGCUUCUGCUGAGGCGCUAUUGCUGAGGCGCCGGGGCCGGAUGCUAUUGCUGAGGCGCCGGGGCCGGACGCUUCUGCUGAGGCGCUUCUCCUGAGGCUUCUGCUGAGGCGCCGGACGCUUCUCCUGAGGCUUCUGCUGAGGCGCCGGACGCUUCUGCUGAGGCGCCGGACGCUUCUGCUGAGGCGCCGGACGCUUCUGCUGAGGCGCCGGACGCUUCUGCUGAGGCGCCGGACGCUUCUGCUGAGGCGCCGGGCGCUCUGCUGAGGCGCCGGACGCUUCUGCUGAGGCGCCGGACGCUUCUGCUGAGGCGCCGGGGCCGGACUUCACACUUGACGGGGCAUUGUGGCCAGUAGAUUCUGCUGACGUGGCAUUGUGGCCAGUAGCUUCUGCUGACGUGGCAUUGUGGCCAGUAGCUUCUGCUGACGUGGCAUUGUGGCCAGUAGCUUCUGCUGACGUGGCAUUGUGGCCAGUAGCUUCUGCUGACGUGGCAUUGUGG
rnacentral:lncRNA from 1 species